rnacentral:lncRNA from 1 species
UGCACUAAAAAAACAGCUGCUUCCCAGUCGCAGCGCCCCACCCAAGGCCGCCCUAGAUCCGCCGGCCAUCAGCGCGCCCCUCUUGUUCGCAAGGAGAUGGCUUCGUCGGUGCUCAGAUCCGCCGGCCGUGUGGUCCGGCGAUCCAUCCCCCAAGGGUCCUGCUGCCGGUCGCCCAUCUCCGGUUCCGCCGGGAACACCCAGCUCAACAAGGUAACCAACCCCCUUGCACUUUCCUCUCCUCUAGGGUUUCAUUCAUCUGGCAAAUUAAUAAUCAGGUGGUCAUAGUAGUUGUAAAAAACGAAUCAGCUGUUCAUCGUGAUUUUAAGCAACAAUGCUGUACCUUGUUGCUGGAGUGUGCAUCUGUCAGCCUCUUCGAGAAGGAUCGAAUUUUUACUCUAUGGACUAUGUGGGCGAAAGACCUCCCUUUCCGAGUCUGAAUGUUAUCCAAUAGCGAAGAGCCCCUGUCAGUCUAGGCACUUCUCAUUAUGUCUUAGAUAAUCUCGAUUAGCUAUUAUCCUAGGUAGUGGUUAUUCCUCACGUAGGUAACUGGUAGUGGUUAUUCCUCACGUAGGUAACUGGUAGUGGUUAUUCCCCUGUCCAUGAAAAUGUGUGCCCUUCUCAUUAUGUCUUAGAUAAUCUUGAUUAGCUAUUAUCCUAGGCAAGCUUGGAAAAAGUGGUAGGCGUAAGCGAGGCGGUUGGCUUUUGCCUAGUGCCUAGGCGGCGCCUAAGCGCCCUAGGCGCAGCCUAGGCGGUAAUAUAGUUUUUACUCGUAGUAUAUUUGUGAUUAUUAUAUGGGUGUUGAUAUUAGUUUAGGGCAUAUAAAUAAGUUAAUUACCGUCUACGGCCAUUGGAAUCUAACCCAUUUGGCAUAUCAGUAUAGUAUGUUGCAUGAUUUCUUGCUUGGGUAGACAAUUCCUUACUUGCCCUGCCUAGACCUCCAUUUAUGCCAUAGGCGAGGCGUUUGGCCAUUGCCUAGCGCCUAGGCGUGCCUAAGCGCCUCCUAGGCACUGCCUUUUCCAACAGAGAUCCUAGGUAGUGGUUAUUCCUCACGUAGGUAACUGGUCUUUGGCUUUAGAUUGGAGAUGGAUUAAUGUGAGAGGCAACCACUUGAUAUACUUUUACUAAUGAAUCACUGGAUACUGAACAUAUGAGAUUGCCAUUUUUUCCUCUUUUGAAGCUUUCUGUAACACAUUAUUAGUGUAUUGCAACUCUUUCUACUUUAUCGAGCUAUGCGCUGAACUGCAAUUGCUUAGAUUUUUAAUACUCCUUCUACAUUUUGGAAUAUGAACCUAGUUGCUCUGUGAACCUGUGACAUACUUGAUGCCGUCCUCUGGAAACAACCUGAUUUUUACCUGUUCAAGUUUCACGUUUCUGGAAUUCCAAAAACAUAUGGUGUUAAGUCACUUUACUAGCGUUAGAGAAAGAAAUGAGGAACCAACAAUCAACUACUCUAAAGGAAUAAAUGGUUACUAGAUUGCAAUUUGCAAAUACUCCUAGUGAUUGUCCCAUAGCUUAUAAUUUGAAACUGAAGAGAAAAACUAAAGUUAACUUACAGCUAGCUGUGUAUGAAACUUGGGCCCAUACGUCACAAUCAUGUGUUCAUUAUACACUAAAAUGUUGGAAAAAUUGCUCUUGUGGUCUCAGCAUUCAUUUUGAAACACUUGCAAACACACAGCCCUCUUCCCUUCACUCUCCAUUUUUAUCUAAAGCCAUGAAACAGAGUCCUUAUAAGCAAGUGGUUAUCUGGUUACAAAUUGGCACAGCAAAACAACAGACACCACAGAACUGAAAGACUUCACCACUACAAACUAAGCUACCGGCUUGAGAUAACGGGAACUCAGCGUGUAAAACCCCUAUGAAACCAAAGAUUAAACAGAGAGUGCAACAUCAUGCCUGGAUGAUGUUUUCAAUCUUGUGAAUGUGCUUGUCAAUAUCCUCCUGUGUCUGCGCCUUCAUUUUGGAAAGGGGGGCAGAUGGGUGACCCUGCCCCCUGUUUUGGCCUGAUCAGGAACUCCCCUAGCGAACUCUGGAAACAAGCGCACUGUGUUGUCUCUCGAAUCACAGAGAAUCACAGACCAGUUAGUUAUAUAGCGAAGUGCAAUCUGUUGUCUCCUCUCCCGCAGAAGAGCCAUUUCUUUAUUGAAGUUACUCUGAACUCUGCCCUCAGUUACUUGCCACGCAAAUACUCUGUUCUUCAGAGGGAUCUGCAACUUCCACCAAGUUUCCGUCUGAAAAUCAGCCACAUUGACCUAGAAGUGCACUGUCCUUUAGCUAAUUACCAUCCAACUUAUCUUAACUGCUUAGUAAGGAGAAAUAAAAUCUUUUCUGCUGAGCUUCGAUCUCCUAAAGAAUCCCACUGAUUCUGUUACUAACACUCAUUCACACUAAUGUUCUGAUCCUCAGUCACUCGAAAUGCGCUUGGGAAUUUCAGUUUUAAGGGAAUUGUGCUGUUCCAAGUGUAUUGCCAAAAUGUGUUUUCUUAUCCAUUCCCAACCUGAUAAACAGCAUCUCAAUUUAAUCAAUGUUUCACCCUUUGCAGUCCAUUCCAGAAAUUGGAUUGACCCUCAAGUAAGCAUUUAUUGCAGAACUCUGAAUCCCAUGCUUAUCUAACCACUUCUGGUGUUAAAAAAAACAUGUUAGCCCUAAGUUUCCAGGCACAACAUCUGACAGAAGCUGAAACAGAAAUAGGGUUGCAUCUUUUCUCAUUUCUGGCAAAGUUCUCCUUGUGUUUCGGAAGUUUCUCCAGUUUCCACUUGGAAAUAAACAUCAGCAUGCCGCCAAGCCUACAUUGUGCUGCCAAACAGCACGCCGCUGUCUUCUGCAGCGACAUUCGUGGCCGCGAUCUCGCGCCUUCUGUGGAGGGGGAGGCCCAGGUCAUGGAGGCUGUGGCUCGCUUCGAUGCGGGCUUGCCGCUCCUACAGCCCCCCGCUCCACCCUCCCCUCCGGCUAUGGGUGGCUUCAUCUGCGACCCGGCCACCUCCCAGGCGACGGUUGCCGCCAACGAGCAGUCCCCCCUCGCCUCCGACCUCUCAGACCUGCCUCCACGCGCUGCCCCGCCAACCAUCUUCUACACCCGUCGCAGCGCCCGCAUCUCCCGCAAGGAAGAGCCAAACCGUCUGUCUAUGCUCGAGAAGGCCAAGCUGCGCAAGAAGAUGAAGAUGGAGGGGAAAAAGCCGACCAAGGUGCCGUCCAAGGUGCCGGAUCUCCUUCUCCCCGAGCUUGAGCUCUUGGAGAUUGCUGCAGAGGGGACUCCGCCACUGCCCCGCGAGGACGCCAUUCAGCUGGGCAGGGCGUGCGGUGUGCCCGAGCUCGACCUCAACUAGAUGCCCACCGGUGACGAUGUGUGAACAACGGUUGUACCCCGCACCCCAGAUGCGCUGCUCCCCGAUGAGCUUCCACGGCAGCCGCGCCUCCACCAACGUUUCUAGGGCCGGUUUUCCUUUCAGUCUGCGCAUCUGGCAGGCCUCCCCCCGCUUGUUUUUGGGGUUUUCUACCUCUGCUCUCCUUUUUUGUAGCCUCUACCAUGAUGGCCGCUAUUUGGCGCUUCUCUCGGAUACAGCUUCUGCUGUCUACCACCUGCCUGUAUCCGUCUCUACGCCCUGCCCUUUUUUUCUCUUUUUUGCUCCCCUCGUACCCCCUCCCUCGGUGUAAUGCUGUUGAUCAAUGAUUAAGAACUUAGUUAUCUCCUCUUGGAAUGUUCGUGGUCUAGGGAGACACAAAAAAUGCACUGAGAUUAAGGCAGGUUUAGUCGCUACUCAGUGCUCGAUUGUCUGUUGCCAAGAAACCAAGCUUACUGAUGUCGACCGUUUUAAGGCCAUGACUUUCCUUCCCCCCAAUCUUAGGGAUUUCGACCUCAUCCCUUCCACCGGUGCCUCUGGUGGGUUACUAACUGCCUGGGAUAGUAACCUUUGGACUUGCUCCUCCGUGGCAAAAAAUCAGUUCUUUCUCUCUUGCACGUUUGAAUCUAAAUCUGACGACCUUUCCUUCACCUUAACCAACGUGUACGGCCCUUGCGACCCGGCUGGCAAACGCGCGUUCUUGGACUUGCUCAUCAAUCUUUCCCCAACUAUAACUGGUCCCUGGGCGAUUAUUGGAGACUUUAACCUUAUCCUUCGCCCCUCAGAUAAAUCCUCGCAAAACUUCAACUCGGUCGAGGCCAUGCUUUUCUCUGAUGUGAUCCACUCCAUGCAUCUCCAGGAUCUACCCCUCCUGGACCGACGCUAUACUUGGUCAAACCAGCAGGACGCGCCCAUUCUUGUUCGUUUAGAUCGCGCGCUUGUUAAUGUGGCCUGGGCCCUGCAAUUCCCGGACAGCGCGCUCACCUCCUCCACCAGAUCCACGUUCGACCACGUCCCAAUUCAACUCUCUGCGGCCACUCAGAUUCCAAAACCCUCGAUCUUCCGGCUCAAUAACGCUCUGCUAACUAAAACCUCCUUUCGGGAGGAGGUGGUAUCAACCUGGGCUAGUGUUGGAUCUCCUCAUCUUGGAAGAGGUUCGGUUGGGAUGCUUGUUCUGCGUCUCAAGCGAAUUUGAGCGAUAGCUAAGAAGUGGUCGGCUAAUUUUCGGCUACCCACCACCUUGGCCAAGAACUGCCACACCAUGAUAAACUUUCUAGACAAGAUUGAGGAGUCCCGCAUGCUCUCCCCCAUCGAGCUUCAUCUUCGAACUGCGGUAAAACUCUCUCUGCACCGCCUCAAUGCUGAUCUGGCUGCUUAUUGGCGGCAAUGUGCUAAAAUCAGAGAUUGUGUUCUCGGAGAUGAGAACUCGUCCUACCUUCACGUUUGUGCUUCCGUUCGUUUUAGGAAAAACCAAAUCAAAUCUCUGGAGGUGGACGGGGUUGCCUUCACCUCUCAAAUAGACAAAGAACGCAUCCUACUGGGUUUCUUCAAGGACCUAGUAGGAACUCCGGUGCGAUCGUCAUUCUCCUUCGAUCUCUCCUCUCUGAUGGCCGGAUCCUCCCUAUCCACCUCUCAAGCUAGGGACAUCGGGCGCCCUUUCUCGAUCGAGGAAAUCAAGCUGGCUCUUUGGGGCAUGAACGACAACGCAAGCCCCGGCCCGGAUGGCUUUGGGCCGGCUUUCUACAAAGUAAAUUGGAACCUAGUCAAAGACGACCUGCUCAACCUACUCAACGAUUUUCAUUGCGGCAAGGCUGACUUGAGACGCAUUAACAAAGCCUACAUCGUGCUUCUCCCCAAGAAGAUGGGAGCUACCCAUCCCGAGAAUUUUAGGCCCAUUACCCUCCAAAACUGUGCGGUCAAAAUUGCUUCAAAAUGUUUAGCCAAUAGAGCCCAGGAUAUCAUGCCGGAUAUUAUCCACUUCGGCCAGUCCGGUUUUAUUAGGGGUAGAGGCAUUGCGGAUAAUUUCCUCCAUGCCGCGGAUGUCGUUCAAACUUGCUUCAAGAGGAAAACACCCACUAUCGUUCUUAAACUUGACUUUCACAAAGCCUUUUGACUCCAUCCCCUGGGACGCCUUGACUACUAUUUUGCGUGCCAAAGGCUUCCCCUUGCAAUGGGACAACUGGAUCAGAUCUCUGAAUGAAUCUACCAACUCCGCUAUUUUGCUUAACGGACGCCCCGGCCCGUGGUUCCCCUGCCGUUGUGGUCUGCGACAAGGGGACUCCCUCUCCCCCUACCUCUUUCUGAUUGUCGCCGACGUUCUUCAGCGUAUGAUCUUACAUGCUUCUCAAUCUGGCAUGCUCUCGCACCCCCUAGACGAUAACCUCCCUUGCCCGGUGCUGCAGUACGCCGACGACACGCUGAUUGUGCUGCUGGCGGUCGCUGCGCAGCUGCAUCAUCUCAAGCAGCUUCUUAUGCAAUUCUCCGCGGCCACUGGGCUCUCGAUUAAUUUCCACAAAAGUACGUUCGCUCCAAUCCAUGUUGACUCGGACACCUCCCAUUAUCUUGCUACGAUCCUCGGUUGCAACGUGGCCAGCUUCCCUCAGUCCUACCUAGGGCUACCUCUAUCCACCUCUAAACUGAACGUUUCAGCCUUCUCCUUUCUGAUUGACAAAAUCGACCACAGGUUGGCAGGUUGGCGGGGACUUUUGCUUUCCCUUGCAGGUCGGGCUAUUCUUGUUCGCGCGGCUCUUCGGGCCCUUCCUAUAUAUGCUAUGAGUGCGCUGCUGCUGCCCAUCGGAACGCUUCAACAAAUUGACAAACGCUGCAGGGCCUUCUUCUGGUCAGGGCAGGAUAAAACUACGGGAGGGCAAUGCAAAGUGGCUUGGGACCUUGUGUGCGCUCCUUUCGUGAACGGGGGUCUAGGCUUCUCCUUGCUCAAACACAUGAAUGUCUGUCUUCUUCUUCAUCACCUGUCAAAACUGCAUGACUCUGGCGCUGCCCCAGCCCCGUCCUACCUAGUUACCAAAUAUGGCUGGUCUCCUACCCACGACCUGGGCGUUGGGGAUUCAGCUGGGUCGCCAGUCUGGCGCGAUAUCUUUAAACACCUUGACUUCUUCCGAUCCAUUACGUCGGUUAAACUCGGGAAUGGGGCCACCACCUCGUUCUGGAAUGAUCUUUGGCUCCCAAACAACCAAACUACUCUUGCACCUCAGUUUGCUGCUCUCUACACUCACUCCAAUAGGCAGUCGGCCUCAGUUGCUAGAGUGCUGGAUUCGCCAGAUCUGAACCUCGACCUUGCUCCUCGAUUAUCCCUUGUAGCUGAGAAUGAAUUGGUUGCUUUGCGUAAUAUUAUGGCUUCAAUUAACUUGGAUUCACAGGUGCACGACACCAGGGUCUGCAGGCGAGAGGGCAAGGCCCUUACCACCAGUUUGGCUUAUAAUGCAAUAUGGCACGAGCAUCCGCCGGACCCGAUGGCGGCUGCUAUCUGGAAAAAUUAUGCGCCAAACAAGUGUCGCAUCUUCAUGUGGUUGGCUCACAAAGAUCGAGUAUACACCAAUGAGCGUAGGUUGCGUCGCUCAAUCGCUUCCUUUGAUGCCUGCCCGUUCUGCGGCACCUGCGAGGAUAUCACUCACCUCCUUCUCCGCUGCUCUACUCUUCGGCCGCUCUGGGACGAGCUCCACACCCUUUAUAGGGGGUCGCCGCGCAACGUCGCGGAUAUCUGGCAUCAGGCCCCGCGGGACAAAGUUCGUUCCACCGUCCUCAUCGCAAUCUUCUAAUUGUUUGAUGUGUGCACAGUACUUCACCUCAUCCUCGGGUCAGCAGGUGAGUAAGGUGAAUGAGGCGAACUAUGAGGACCUUAUUGAGGAGAAGAGCAAAGAGCUGACUCGUGUCGUAGGUGAACUGAAGAAGGAAUUUAAAGAACUCGAGUUGGUGUUGGAAAAAAAUGAUGCCCGUGCCAGGAGGUAAAAUUCAUUGUCCUAGAUAGAUAUAUAUGCACGUUUAUAGGUGCACAUUUAUCUGGUUAUCCUGAUCGUGUUGUUCUCGCUUACACGCAAGCUAUGCAGAGGCCAUUCAAGAUGUUAGCUGGUGCAACAGUUGGUUUUCUCCUUGGCUUUCAUACUCACAAGUACAUUAGUGACUGAGUCGUGUGAGGGGGAGAGAGAGAGAUCAGCAGGAGACCUCUAUUUUGCUGCUAAUCCAUGUGAACUUUGUGUUAGCUAAUGCCUUGUAGAUGUUCUGUACUCGAUCUCGUCAGGAACUUGAGUAAGCAUCCGGCAACGUUUAUCACUUCGGGUAGGGGAGUGAAAGGCAGCAAGUUACUAUCGUUUAACUCACACUUGAAUCCAG